GAUUAUGAAAAUCCAAUAAAUAAAAAUAUCAGGGAUAACAUGGUUGGGAGAAGUGUACAUUUAAGAUUAGUUAUAGUGGAGUGGACGUGAUAAUAACGAGGCAAAAUCUUUAGCAGACCAUUUUGGUAUCACCAAGACUCACAGCAAAUUGGCUGCUUCUGAUGACCAAACAUGAAGGAUGUAUUAAAUUUUGUAAUAUGUUGUGACAUUUUCCAGCAUAGCAACACAAGAUUUGGAAAAAUCAGCAAUGAGUUGCAUUCAAUUCCUAUUCCGGC